rnacentral:rRNA from 1 species
AGCAGCCGCGGUAAUUCCAGCUCCAAUAGCGUAUAUUAAAGUUGUUGCAGUUAAAAAGCUCGUAGUUGAAUUUCGGGAUCAAUAUUUCGGUCAUGCCGUUGGUAUGCACUGUUAUCAUUGAUUUCUCACCUUCUAAAGAACCGUAAUGCCAUUAAUUUGGUGUUACGGGGAAUUAGGACUGUUCCCUUGAAAAAAUUAGAGUGUUUAAAGCAGGCUCACGCUUGAAUACAUUAGCAUGGAAUAAUGAAAUAGGACAUCCGAUUCUAUUUUGUUGGUUUCUAGGAUCGAUGUAAUGAUUAAUAGGGAUAGUUGGGGGCAUUAGUAUUCAAUUGUCAGAGGUGAAAUUCUUGGAUGUAU